rnacentral:rRNA from 1 species
AUGAACGCUGGCGGCGUGCCUAAUCCAUGCAAGUCGAGCGAACAGACGAGGAGCUUGCUCCUCUGACGUUAGCGGCGGACGGGUGAGUAACACGUGGAUAACCUACCUAUAAGACUGGGAUAACUUCGGGAAACCGGAGCUAAUACCGGAUAAUAUAUUGAACCGCAUGGUUCAAUAGUGAAAGACGGUUUUGCUGUCACUUAUAGAUGGAUCCGCGCCGCAUUAGCUAGUUGGUAAGGUAACGGCUUACCAAGGCGACGAUGCGUAGCCGACCUGAGAGGGUGAUCGGCCACACUGGAACUGAGACUCGGUCCAGACUCCUACGGGAGGCAGCAGUAGGGAAUCUUCCGCAAUGGGCGAAAGCUUGACGGAGCAACGCCGCGUGAGUGAUGAAGGUCUUCGGAUCGUAAAACUCUGUUAUUAGGGAAGAACAAAUGUGUAAGUAACUAUGCACGUCUUGACGGUACCUAAUCAGAAAGCCACGGCUAACUACGUG